GGUUGUGAUCAUACCAGCACUAAUGCACCGGAUCCCAUCAGAACUCCGCAGUUAAGCGUGCUUGGGCGAGAGUAGUACUAGGAUGGGUGACCCCCUGGGAAGUCCUCGUGUUGCAACCCC
rnacentral:rRNA from 1 species